CCUACGGGAGGCAGCAGUAGGGAAUAUUGCUCAAUGGGGGCAACCCUGAAGCAGCAACGCCGCGUGGAGGAUGAAGGUUUUCGGAUUGUAAACUCCUUUUGUUAGAGAAGAUAAUGACGGUAUCUAACGAAUAAGCACCGGCUAACUCCGUGCCAGCAGCCGCGGUAAUACGGAGGGUGCAAGCGUUACUCGGAAUCACUGGGCGUAAAGAGCGCGUAGGCGGGAUAGCAAGUCAGAUGUGAAAUCCUUUGGCUUAACCAUAGAACUGCAUUUGAAACUGUUAUUCUUGAGUAUGGGAGAGGUAGGUGGAAUUCUUGGUGUAGGGGUAAAAUCCGUAGAGAUCAAGAGGAAUACUCAUUGCGAAGGCGACCUGCUAGAACAUAACUGACGCUGAUGCGCGAAAGCGUGGGGAGCAAACAGGAUUAGAUACCCGUGUAGUC
rnacentral:rRNA from 1 species